CCGCCGCGGUAAACCGCUCUUCAGUGGUCGGGAUAAUUAUUGGGCUUAAAGUGUCCGUAGCCGGUUUAGUAAGUUCCUGGUAAAACCGGGCAGCUUAACUGUCCGUAUGCUAGGAAUACUGCUAUGCUAGAGGGCGGGAGAGGUCUGAGGUACUACAGGGGUAGGGGUGAAAUCUUAUAAUCCUUGUAGGACCACCAGUGGCGAAAGCGUCAGACUGGAACGCGCCUGACGGUGAGGGACGAAAGCCAGGGGAGCGAACCGGAUUAGAUACCCGGGUAGUCCUGGCCGUAAACGAUGCAUACUAGGCAAUGGUGCGGCCAUGAGCCGCAUCAGUACCGUAGGGAAACCGUUAAGUGUGCCGCCUGGGAAGUACGGUCGCAAGGCUAAAACUUAAAGGAAUUGGCGGGGGAGCACCACAAGGGGUGAAGCCUGCGGUUCAAUUGGACUCAACGCCGGGAAACUUACCAGGGGAGACAGCAGAAUGACAGUCAGGUUGACGACCUUACUCGACGAGCUGAGAGGAGGUGCAUGGCCGUCGCCAGUUCGUGCUGUGAGGUAUCCUGUUAAGUCAGGCAACGAACGAGAUCCGCGCCUUUAUUUGCCAUCAAGAAGUCACGACUUCGUUGGGAACACUAAAGGGACCGCCGUCGAUAAGACGGAGGAAGGAGCGGGCAAAGGCAGGUCAGUAUGCCCCGAAACCCCUGGGCUACACGCGGGCUGCAAUGGUGCGAACAAUGGGCUGUAACUCCGAAAGGAGAAACCAAUCCCGAAAUCGCAUCUCAGUGGGGAUUGUCGACUGUAACUCGUUGACAUGAACGUGGAAUCCCUAGUAAUCGCGUGUCACCAUCGCGCGGUGAAUACGUCUCUGCUCCUGCACACACCGCC
rnacentral:rRNA from 1 species